UUAAUUGAAACCAAAAAGAGGUAUAUUACUGUUAAUAAUACUAUUGAGAAAUUCUCCGAUUAAU
rnacentral:tRNA from 1 species